rnacentral:rRNA from 1 species
CGGCCCAGACUCCUACGGGAGGCAGCAGUGAGGAAUAUUGGUCGAUGGGCGAGAGCCUGAACCAGCCAAGUAGCGUGCAGGAUGACGGCCCUAUGGGUUGUAAACUGCUUUUAUAAGGGAAUAAAGUGAGUCUCGUGAGACUUUUUGCAUGUACCUUAUGAAUAAGGACCGGCUAAUUCCGUGCCAGCAGCCGCGGUAAUACGGAAGGUCCGGGCGUUAUCCGGAUUUAUUGGGUUUAAAGGGAGCGUAGGCCGGAGAUUAAGCGUGUUGUGAAAUGUAGACGCUCAACAUCUGCACUGCAGCGCGAACUGGUUUCCUUGAGUACGCACAAAGUGGGCGGAAUUCGUGGUGUAGCGGUGAAAUGCUUAGAUAUCACGAAGAACUCCGAUUGCGAAGGCAGCUCACUGGAGCGCAACUGACGCUGAAGCUCGAAAGUGCGGGUAUCGAACAGGAUUAGAUACCCUGGUAGUCCGCACGGUAAACGAUGGAUGCCCGCUGUUGGUCUGGAUAGGUCAGCGGCCAAGCGAAAGCAUUAGGCAUCCCACCCUGGGGGAGUAAGCCCGGCAACGGUGAAAACUCAAAGGAAUUGACGGGGGGCCCGCACAAGCGGAGGAACAUGUGGUUUAAUUCGAUGAUACGCGAGGAACCUUACCCGGGCUUGAAUUGCAGAGGAAGGAUUUGGAGACAAUGACGCCCUUCGGGGCCUCUGUGAAGGUGCUGCAUGGUUGUCGUCAGCUCGUGCCGUGAGGUGUCGGCUUAAGUGCCAUAACGAGCGCAACCCCUCUCCUUAGUUGCCAUCAGUUGAAGCUGGGCACUCUGGGGACACUGCCACCGUAAGGUGUGAGGAAGGUGGGGAUGACGUCAAAUCAGCACGGCCCUUACGUCCGGGGCUACACACGUGUUGCAAUGGCAGGUACAGAGAGACGGUCCCUUGCAAAACGGAUCAAAUCCUUAAAGCCUGUCUCAGUUCGGACUGGGGUCUGCAACCCGACCCCACGAAGCUGGAUUCGCUAGUAAUCGCGCAUCAGCCAUGGCGCGGUGAAUACGUUCCCGGGCCUUGUACACACCGCCCGUCAAGCCAUGAAAGCCGGGGGCGCCUAAAGUCCGUGACCGUAAGGAGCGGCCUAGGGCGAAACUGGUAAUUGGGGCUAAGUCGUAACAAGGUAGCC